rnacentral:rRNA from 1 species
AUUGAACGCUGGCGGCAGGCCUAACACAUGCAAGUCGAACGGUAACAGGAAGCAGCUUGCUGCUUCGCUGACGAGUGGCGGACGGGUGAGUAAUGUCUGGGAAACUGCCUGAUGGAGGGGGAUAACUACUGGAAACGGUAGCUAAUACCGCAUAACGUCGCAAGACCAAAGAGGGGGACCUUAGGGCCUCUUGCCAUCGGAUGUGCCCAGAUGGGAUUAGCUAGUAGGUGGGGUAACGGCUCACCUAGGCGACGAUCCCUAGCUGGUCUGAGAGCAUGACCAGCCACACUGGAACUGAGACACGGUCCAGACUCCUACGGGAGGCAGCAGUGGGGAAUAUUGCACAAUGGGCGCAAGCCUGAUGCAGCCAUGCCGCGUGUAUGAAGAAGGCCUUCGGGUUGUAAAGUACUUUCAGCGGGGAGGAAGGGAGUAAAGUUAAUACCUUUGCUCAUUGACGUUACCCGCAGAAGAAGCACCGGCUAACUCCGUG